rnacentral:lncRNA from 1 species
GGGAGAUGCAAGAUGGGAGACGGCAGGCAAGAACCGAUCAGACGGCCAGCCGGAUAGGAAAGCAGAUGGCUUGAUUUCUUCACGCUGUUUCGAAACAAUAGAUCGCUUCAUGGUGAAAUAAUAAUAAGGUGUUGUCACUUAGGGGGUGGUUGUUGUAGUUUUGGCAAUUUCGGCAUACCAGCGUUACAAUAAUGCCUACUCUAUUUAUUCCAAUUUCCUUUCUGGGCAAAAUAGAACAAAAAAUGUAGCAGACAACAAUCUUGUGAAAAAAGUAAGCGUAGGUAUCACUAUUUCUUUGAGUCUCCUUUUCUCUGACUUUUCGUUUCAAAUUUAUUGGAAAAUCUGAGCGAUAGUUUGCAAUAAUUGUGAUUUUGUUGAGCUAUUAUCCCGCAAAAAGCAGCGAUUUAUUCAAGAUAAUUCCAGGUUUUUAGAACAGCACCUUUUAAGUUUUAGAGCUGGCUACAGUUGUUUAUUGGGGCAGUGUCUCAUCAGCGGCGCUACCAACAGCGGUGUUAUAAGCAAGUUCCAGAUUUUUGGAGUAGUGCACACCAGCAGCAUCAUCACCUUCUACAACUAGGGAUUUUUCAAUUGCGUUUCAGGUAAGAAUUUAGCAAUUGCCAAUGAAUCAAAUUGGUAACUUAUUUUUUUAUUUGUUUUUGGCUUACACCAUCUUGUAAUGAUAUAAUUAUUAAUACACCAUGGCUCACACUAAUCACGGAUUCGGUACUUAUCUCCAAGCGUUUCCGCUCGGAUGACUAUGAUGAGGGACUUCGGUCUAGCCACUUAAACGUAUAAUUAUUUAAUAAUAUAACAGAUAGAAUUUAGAUGUGUAAGUUUUAAAUGGUAACGAAAAUAUAGUUUGUAAUAAAAUUCCCGUCAAAGUUAAGUUAUUUAAAAACUUAGUACGCAUAUAUACUUCAGAACUUAAGGAAAAAAAUACAAAUAAAAUUCCAUACUUGAUAUGUUAUUUUUAUUAGAAGUUAAAUAUAA